rnacentral:sRNA from 1 species
GCCAGGCGCAGUGGCGGAUGCCUGUAAUUCCAGCAGCUCAGGAGGCUGAGACAGGAGGAUCAUGGGUUCAAAGCCAGCCUCAGCAAUGGUGAGGUGCUAAACAACUCAGUGAGACCCUGUCUUUA